GGGCCCGCACAAGCGGAGGAACAUGUGGUUUAAUUCGAUGAUACGCGAGGAACCUUACCCGGGCUUGAAAUGCAGAAGACCGAAGUGGAAACACUUCUUCCAGCAAUGGCUUCUGUGUAGGUGCUGCAUGGUUGUCGUCAGCUCGUGCCGUGAGGUGUCGGCUUAAGUGCCAUAACGAGCGCAACCCUUGUCGGUAGUUGCUAUCAGGUAAUGCUGGGGACUCUACCGAGACUGCCAUCGUAAGAUGCGAGGAAGGUGGGGAUGACGUCAAAUCAGCACGGCCCUUACGUCCGGGGCGACACACGUGUUACAAUGGGUGGUACAACGGGCAGCUACCGGGCGACCGGAUGCCAAUCUCUCAAAUCCACUCUCAGUUCGGAUCGAAGUCUGCAACCCGACUUCGUGAAGCUGGAUUCGCUAGUAAUCGCGCAUCAGCCACGGCGCGGUGAAUACGUUCCCGGGCCUU
rnacentral:rRNA from 1 species